CUGCUUGUGGCUUGUGCUGCGUGUGGCUUGUGGGAAACUUCAUAAUAUUAAUGACAUUUCAAGAUUAUAAAAAGAAAAAGAUAAAUUCAGUUUUAAGGAUAUUUCAUAGGGAUUUUUUUAUUAAUUCAUUGAACGAAUAACUCUUAAACCUUAUUAAAAAUGGUGGACGUAUCACCCUUUUGGAAGUCUCCUUUUACCGAUCUAACUGGUUCAAUUCUUACUCAUCAAUUUUACGGGCCCUGUGCCGAUAUGGAGCUGAAAGCCGUAGAAUGUUUCGAUGCUUAUGGUUUAGAUAAAGGAUUGACAAAGUGUCAGGACUUGGUUCAUGAUUUUAGAGAAUGUGCUACACGUAACAAACAAGACGGUCGAAUAGUGGCAUUGAGGAGAGAGAGAGAUCGACAGAUAAAAAGUGGCGAACGUUCUAAAGAAAAUGCUUAUGCUCCAUCACCUGCACCUGACAGUUAUUGAUGUUUUUAUUAUGUUAUAGUUUUCAAAUAAAUUUAGUCGCUACUUUAUUCAAAUAAGGUUUUUGUUCUCGUGUAUUUUCUAAAUUAAGUUCUGUUAUGUAAGAGCUGUAUUGUCAUCUAAGAUUUAUAAUUAUGUAGUAAUGGCCAAACAUUUAUUUAAAUUUAUUAAAGUUUCUCUUAUUUGGCUGCCA